rnacentral:rRNA from 1 species
GGUAUUUUUUUCUUUUUCUCAACCGUUUUGGGUCCUUCAUUUACAUAUUGGUAUUAAAUAUUAAAAAAAGCUUUGUUUCUUUCUCUGCCGCCCCAGCCAACCUUCACUCCCUAACCCUCUUGGGCCUGAUAACUUUCGCCCCUGAAAAUUAAAAAAUUGUUGUAAAAAUCUACAGGGUCUUCUCGUCUAAUAAAAUUAUUUUUGCUUUUUUACAAAAAAAUAAAAUUCGUUUGUACGGUUGAGACAGCUUAAACUUCAUUGAAUCAUUCAUCCCAGCCUUCAAUUAAAAGACUAUUGAUUAUGCUACCUUCGCACGGUCAGGAUACCGCGGCUCUUUAACGAUGUCAGGGAGCAGACCUUACCUUUUAUAUAUAUUCAACAAAGGGCA